ensembl:lncRNA
CAUCAUCACGUGCGCUGGUGUUCCGACUGUACAAAUCACGAGUCCGUGCUCGUGUUCUCGGCGGGUACGUACUCACUGAGAACGCGAGUACGUACUCGCGUACUUGGGCAUUGAUAAACAGCCAGAGAGAGAGACAUUAGAACACGUCGUACUAUGGCAACCUCUCGGAAGCGGACGGAGGGGGUCAGUCGUUGGUCGUGUCCAAAUUCAUGGGCUGCAUCCUCCUGAGGACCCGGUCUACGUGGGCCGGGUCCUCAGGAGGUCGGGUAGGCCGGAAGUAAACGGCUGUGAAAUUGGACGGUCUAGCCUUCUGAUUAACGUCACCGCUGUCUCGGUGGAGUUUAAUAAACUCGGCCGCCUGCUCCUUGCUAUCUAAAAUAUAACAGGACACUGGCGUAAACUCUCGACCAUCUCACACUUCUGUUAAUCAGUUUUCUGUUUGACGUUUAUUCAGCUGUGUGAAAACCACCCGGGGGAUUAAUAAAGUUUUAUUUUAUCUAAUCUAAUCUAAUAUCUUUAAUCUCAGCCAAACCGAUUUACUCACGAACAAACAAAACACUGAAAAAAGCCAAACAAUAUCCUUUUUAGGUUGUCUAAGUGACUUAUAUAUUACGUUUAACCUGAGUAGCGAAAGUCCGCGGUGAUCUGAAAAUGAUGUGCCGGGAGUUGUGCCGUUCUCGGCGGCUUCAGUGACCCUCAACCUCCCGGUCAGCUAUCGAGCUGGUGGGUAACAGACGUCUCCGAAAACGUCGAAGCACUUUUGCAAAUAUGCGAUGUCUUGAUAAACCGAGCAGAUAUUUGAAGUUUGCACAGCUACUUCUUGAAAACAUGUUAAGUUUAUUUUGUGACUCAGAAAGAUUAAUAAGACUAAUUUUAAAACUUAGUAGCGGCCGCCAUUGUUGGAAACUGGAGUUUGGCUGGGCCGCGCCAUGAAUUCUGGGAUCCCAGAACCCAUCCUUCAAAUUUGGGGAAAAGGAGGACGCAUUUGUCGGCUGGAUUCGGAGGAGUCUACGAAUUUGGACAGCCUUCGGCGCGUCGCUGUGACGUAAUCGGUCCACAAAUGCGGCCUCAGGAGGAUGCAGCCCAUGAAUUUGGACACGACCGUUGGGAUGCGCAUGUGCAGACAGACUGCGCGACCGGCGGGCCUUGAACUUUUUAAGGGAAAAACACUUUCUCACAGACGGUGACAGCGAAGCGGAUAACAGUCUCGAGUACCUGCUGGUCUUUGAAGCUCUGGAUUCUGGGACUGUUGGAAAAGGUAAAACAUUUUCAUUAAAACUUUUUUACUGUUUUGUUUUUGUUACUCGUCAUUGUAGCUUGCUGUUAAUGCUGUGCUAACAAUAACAGUUAGCUAUGUUAGAUACGUUAGCCGUUGAUGUUAACGUAAUUUAGUAUCCGGUAUACAGAAACUGUUUUCCUAACAAAACCACUGUUAUAAUUAAGUGAAGGUGCUCCCAACUAAUUUGAACCUUUGGCUUCUAAAAUAUGUGGUCCUAUUGUGUGUGGCGUACAUAACGUAAUGUCAGCUAGACCGAUAUUAAAAUUUAUAAUAUUAAAGUCACUAAAAUGGCGCCUGAAGCCUGUUUUGACAUGAGCUGUGUCUGCUCUAGAAACUCAGAAAUUCAGUAGAUCUGAGCCGUACAUUAAAUACUCACAUCAGCCUGUACUUUGAAUUCUGUAAGAGCUGUAUAAAACACAGCAAUGCAUAAGUGUUUUGAAUGAAUAGAAAUGUGACAUAUUAGAAGGUGUGUCUGUGACUGUUACUGUAUAACUUAUUUUCGGACUAGUUGGCAAAUUAUGCUCCGGUCAUUUGAUGUUACCAGGAUGGAUGUCCUUUUUGUAAUAUAGUUAAAUUUUCUUUGUACAUUUCAUUUAUCCACCAUCGUACAUUAAGCCAAGAGGUCAUUAUACUAACAAGAGGUAUCAAUGCUGGGCCAAAGUUCAGCACGUGGUUAAAGUUUGUAAUCCAGCCAGGGUGUAAAUAUCACUCAGCAGCCAGUCGUAGAGCUGAAGCAGGUAGCAUCAAAACAUAAAUCUACUCUACCCGGCUUAAAUCACAAGACCACCUCUGACCGAAAAGCUGUAGAUUUUUCUUGUUUGCACAAAUUAAUCCAGAUUCACACUAAUUCUGUUCACAGCUCCAACAAAAUGAGGACGAGGAGGGAGAAACACAAUUAGACUGAAUUACGAUUGGAUGGAUGUCGAGGACAAGGAGGAGGAAGCUUAGGAUGAGGAGGAAGAAAAGCAGCAGGAGCAUCUUUAGGGAUCUCUAUGAUGUCAUUGAGAGGCGGCGGCGAGAGGGGAGACCUCGGCUCAUCCAGCUGGACAGCCUGACCAGGAGGAGCCGAACAUUAACUCGGGUCUUCCAGGGCACCCUGCAGACUCGGCUGCUGGCAUUGGCGAGAGAGUGCGGCCGCGGCUGGGAUGACGUGAACGCCAAACAGGAGUCCAUCACAGGUCGACUGCAGCUCCUUGUCUCAGAGUGGGAGGGGUUUGAAGCACAAAGGGAGGAGCUUGUCAUUUGGUUGGCUGUUAUGGAUGUCCACCUGAGUGAGGUUGACCAGCUGACAGGAAACACCUGUGGAAAAACUGAAACAACUGCAGGUGUGGGGUUGUUUUGAUAUGACAUAUAUUUGAUAUGAUACACACGUCAGAGACAUUAUCCUAAACUGGACUAACAAAGGACCAUGAGUCCAACAUGAAACUUACUUUACAUAACGUAAGGCUGAAGUUCAUUGAUAAUUUUAAUCAAAAACUUGUUGCUGAAAUAUUUUUACUGAACAUGCAAACAUCUGCUGAUGAAAAUGUGUUGAUUUAUUGGUCUGUUAUGAAGCUACUGCUAUUUCUAAUGUGUUUUUAUCACUUUCUGAUGUUUUAUUGAACAAUACAUGUAUUAAUUGUGUUAUCUAUAGAUAUAGUAUUUAUAUAUAUUUAUUUAUAGUAUAGCAAAUAUAUUUAAUUAUUAGUGUUUAAAUGACUAAUAUGUGACAUGUAUUAGUUGUGAUGUUGUGCUGAGGGUUAAAAUGCCUUUUUGUCUUUUGGUAUAUUAUGAAAUGACAAACCAUUAAUGUCUAUGCUGUGCUCGUGUUUAUUUUUACCCUACUCCUAUUCAAUUUAUGAUACAUUUUAUUUUAAAAGAUUUAAAAUGGUUUAAAGAACCAACCAAAAAAAGUUCUUUAAAAU